rnacentral:rRNA from 1 species
AUGCACGCUGGCGGCGUGCCUAAUACCUGCCAGUCGAGCGCACGGACGAGAAGCUUGCUUCUCUGAUGUUAGCGGCGGACGGGUGAGUAACACGUGGAUAACCUACCUAUAAGACUGGGAUAACUUCGGGAAACCGGAGCUAAUACCGGAUAAUAUUUUGAACCGCAUGGUUCAAAAGUGAAAGACGGUCUUGCUGUCACUUAUAGAUGGAUCCGCGCUGCAUUAGCUAGUUGGUAAGGUAACGGCUUACCAAGGCAACGAUGCAUAGCCGACCUGAGAGGGUGAUCGGCCACACUGGAACUGAGACACGGUCCAGACUCCUACGGGAGGCAGCAGUAGGGAAUCUUCCGCAAUGGGCGAAAGCCUGACGGAGCAACGCCGCGUGAGUGAUGAAGGUCUUCGGAUCGUAAAACUCUGUUAUUAGGGAAGAACAUAUGUGUAAGUAACUGUGCACAUCUUGACGGUACCUAAUCAGAAAGCCACGGCUAACUACGUG